CGCAGGAAGCUGGGCUUUACACGAUCUUGCAGGCGGACACAGGGCUGGGGCGUGGGCAGGCGGCCCACCGUUCCUCCCCGCUGCCCCGUUCAUGGGCUCUGGGGCAGAGGAAGCUGUGUCCCUCACGGAGGGAGAGGGGGCACACACCGUCCUUCAGGGGCUUGGGCGUCCCUCUUCGAGUGGCAGCAAAGGGAGUAUCUACAGAUGGGGAAACUGAGGCUCAGAGAUCUAAAAUGCCUAGAGUGGCUAACCGCUCAGUGGUGCAACCAGGAUCAAAACCCUGCCUCCGGGGCUCUCCCAGGCUCCUUCACUGCUGACAACCCUCAGCCCCGUCUCAGGGGACACAGCCAGAGACAGAAAGUGAGCACAAGCAGGGGGAGCAGGAGAG